GAAUUGCAUGACGAAUUGGAAUUCAUUGAGCGUACAGCUGCCAAUAAGCAACAACUCCAAAAGCUAUCUGAUAUGGUUGCAGGAAGCUAUAUUGAACAUCCCUCGUGGAAUAACACGGCUAAUGGAUAUGCUCAUGGAUCGCGAGGUUGCCUAUUGAUCCUCAUUUUGAAAGAAAGCUUGAAAUAUAAUAAUCAAAGUUUACCUCCAG